ACCUAUGGCCAUAUCACCCUGAACGUACCCGAUCUCGUCUGAUCUCGGAAGCUAAGUAGGGUCGGGCCUGGUUAGUGCUUGGAUAGGUU
rnacentral:rRNA from 1 species